rnacentral:rRNA from 1 species
GACGAACGCUGGCGGCGUGCUUAACACAUGCAAGUCGAACGGAAAGGCCCUGCUUUUGUGGGGUGCUCGAGUGGCGAACGGGUGAGUAACAUGUGAGUAACCUGCCCUUGACUUUGGGAUAACUUCAGGAAACUGGGGCUAAUACCGGAUAGGAGCUCCUGCUGCAUGGUGGGGGUUGGAAAGUUUCGGCGGUUGGGGAUGGACUCGCGGCUUAUCAGCUUGUUGGUGGGGUAGUGGCUUACCACGGCUUUGACGGGUAGCCGGCCUGAGAGGGUGACCGGCCACAUUGGGACUGAGAUACGGCCCAGACUCCUACGGGGGGCAGCAGUGGGGAGUAUUGAACAAUGGGCGGAAGCCUGAUGCAGCAACGCCGCGUGCGGGAUGACGGCCUUCGGGUUGUAAACCGCUUUCGCCUGUGACGAAGCGUGAGUGACGGUAAUGGGUAAAGAAGCACCGGCUAACUACGUG